rnacentral:rRNA from 1 species
GUCGUAGGGCGCAAGCGUUGUCCGGAUUUAUUGGGCGUAAAGAGCUCGUAGGCGGCCUGUCGCGUCGACCGUGAAAACCCGCAGCUCAACUGCGGGCUUGCGGUCGAUACGGGCAGGCUGGAGUUCGGUAGGGGAGACUGGAAUUCCUGGUGUAGCGGUGAAAUGCGCAGAUAUCAGGAGGAACACCGGUGGCGAAGGCGGGUCUCUGGGCCGAUACUGACGCUGAGGAGCGAAAGCGUGGGGAGCGAACAGG